ACCGUCUCAAGCCUUUCAAAUUAAAACAAAAGGAGAGAAGAGAAGAAAACAAAGCAAAAAUCCCUGAAGGGAAGGCAACUUCAUGCAUUGCGUGCAUGCAAAAGUGCUCCGCGUUGCUAAUCGGAAUUUUAAAGGCCAGGGUGUCCCAUCUUGCAUGAUCCAUCCUUCCUCGGGAAUCUUCUGUGCCUUGGCAACAAGUCCAUUUAUUCGGACUUUGAAUUCCUCAUAUUCUCUCUGCAAUACAUGAAAAUGUAAACUCGUCA